GAACCACCAAACGUUAUUCGGAAUUACUGGGCUUAAAGGGUACGUAGGCGGCCCGGCAGGUGGGAGUGUGAAAUCCCUCGGGCUCAACCGAGGGAAUUGCGCCCCAAACCGCCGGGCUUGAGGGAGGCAGAGGUGAGCGGAACUGAUGGUGGAGCGGUGAAAUGCGUUGAUAUCAUCAGGAACACCAGUAGCGAAGGCGGCUCACUGGGUCUCUUCUGACGCUGAGGUACGAAAGCUAGGGGAGCGAACGGGAUUAGAUACCCCGGUAGUCCUAGCUGUAAACGUUGAGCACUGGAUCGAGGGGGCCUCCACACCCUCUCGGUCGUAGCGAAAGUGUUAAGUGCUCCGCCUGGGGAGUAUGGUCGCAAAGGCUGA
rnacentral:rRNA from 1 species